AGAAACUUGAGCCUGCCCCGGGAGUCCCUGGGGAGCUGCCAGGACAGAUUUCGCACCGGCUCUGGCCCUCCCUUCCCUUGGAGGGGGAAUGCGGGCCCGGCCUGAACAGGCAGUGUGAGGAAGUUCCAGCAACCGCUCCCACGUGGCUGCGUUCCGGAAGCUUCCUGGGCAGUCAGCUGCAGGCUCCAUCAGGCUCCCUUUCGUUCCAGCCCCACUGUGAGCCCCUAGGGGACCGGCAGGAGCGAUGAGGUCCCCAGAAUUCAGCACUGUGCCGAGCUGGCCGGGCCACCCCUCUGGUCAAAUGGCUCAGGGCAGCGGGCUCCCUGGGACUGCUCAACAUGGGCGCCCCCGGCUGAUCCAUGGCUCAUGGGCUGCUGGGGAAGACGGGGCCAGAGCUCCUCUGUCUCCCCUGCUUUGAUGCCCCUCCUUGUCCGGGGCCAUCUUGAGGACCUCAGUGAUCCCCCAUAGACCCUGGCCACAGUCACACCUGGCCCCCACCCAGCACAGGGGCUGUAACCUCGGUGCUCGGACGGACUCAGGACAGACGCCGGCGCUCCGAUGCAGUCAGGACAGACGCCAGCGCUCGGACGGACUCAGGACAGACGCCGGCGCUCGGACGGACUCAGGACAGACGCGGGCGCUCGGACCGACUCAGGACAGACGCGGGCGCUCGGACGGACUCCGGACAGACGCGGGCGCUCGAAGGACUCCGGACAGACGCCGGCGCUCGGAUGGACUCUGGAUAGACGCCGGCGCUCGGACGGACUCAGGAUAGACGCCGGCAGACCCACACCUCACUGAGGGCCAGGGAAGAGCAAUGCUGCCCAGGAGGGCCCGUCCACCUGUGGGGCCUGGAGAUGCAGGACAAGCAUCAUUUGACUCCAGGGAACAGCAAUGCCGGCCGGGAGUGCCCAUCCAUGGGAAGAUGCUGGAGAAUCGACGUGGUUCCUGGUCCUGCUGCUGGGUCAGGACCUCAGAGGCCCCUGGAGUAUGUGCCUAGCCCACCCGCCCCCAGGCCCUCGCCUUCCAUAACCAACUCAAAAUGAAAACAGACCAAACCAUACAAUAAAAACGUGCAAUUUUAACAGUGGGGGAGCCUAACGUGGGCGGAAGGCGCGGGCUGCCCGGGGUUGGAUUCCGGGCCUUUCCUUACCAGCUGCACGACCUUGGGGACGCUGCGUACAUCUCCCUGUCCUCGAUUUCUCUUAUCUGUGAAAUGGGGAGAUCACAGAACCUCUUUCAAGGUCCCUGUGAGUGUGUUCAUAGAUACAAACCCUUAGAACGAUGUCUGGCAUUAGACACAGUGAUCAACAAUCAGGUGUUAUCAUUGAACGUGACACACGGAGCCCGUGUCUGCUGGAAUGAAAGCAGGUUCCUUCCGGGUUUGGGCUGCUCCUGAGUUCGCUUUGUGCCUGUGGGUCUGGACAGUCCAGGCCUCUGGGGCCUUUCCCCAGGGCUCCAGCCAGACAAUGGUGGACACGGCGCAGGGGCAGAGGGUGCUGGCCGG
rnacentral:lncRNA from 1 species